rnacentral:rRNA from 1 species
UGAGUAAUGUCUGGGAAACUGCCUGAUGGAGGGGGAUAACUACUGGAAACGGUAGCUAAUACCGCAUAACGUCGCAAGACCAAAGAGGGGGACCUUCGGGCCUCUUGCCAUCAGAUGUGCCCAGAUGGGAUUAGCUAGUAGGUGGGGUAACGGCUCACCUAGGCGACGAUCCCUAGCUGGUCUGAGAGGAUGACCAGCCACACUGGAACUGAGACACGGUCCAGACUCCUACGGGAGGCAGCAUG